rnacentral:rRNA from 1 species
GCAAGUCGAGCGGACCGACGGGAGCUUGCUCCCUUAGGUCAGCGGCGGACGGGUGAGUAACACGUGGGUAACCUGCCUGUAAGACUGGGAUAACUCCGGGAAACCGGGGCUAAUACCGGAUGCUUGAUUGAACCGCAUGGUUCAAUCAUAAAAGGCGGCUUCGGCUGCCGUUUACAGAUGGACCCGCGGCGCAUUAGCUAGUUGGUGAGGUAACGGCUCACCAAGGCGACGAUGCGUAGCCGACCUGAGAGGGUGAUCGGCCACACUGGGACUGAGACACGGCCCAGACUCCUACGGGAGGCAGCAGUAGGGAAUCUUCCGCAAUGGACGAAAGUCUGACGGAGCAACGCCGCGUGAGUGAUGAAGGUUUUCGGAUCGUAAAGCUCUGUUGUUAGGGAAGAACAAGUACCGUUCGAAUAGGGCGGUACCUUGACGGUACCUAACCAGAAAGCCACGGCUAACUACGUGCCAGCAGCCGCGGUAAUACGUAGGUGGCAAGCGUUGUCCGGAAUUAUUGGGCGUAAAGCGCGCGCAGGCGGUUUCUUAAGUCUGAUGUGAAAGCCCCCGGCUCAACCGGGGAGGGUCAUUGGAAACUGGGGAACUUGAGUGCAGAAGAGGAGAGUGGAAUUCCACGUGUAGCGGUGAAAUGCGUAGAGAUGUGGAGGAACACCAGUGGCGAAGGCGACUCUCUGGUCUGUAACUGACGCUGAGGCGCGAAAGCGUGAGGAGCGAACAGGAUUAGAUACCCUGGUAGUCCACGCCGUAAACGAUG